AUAAUUGUUUUGAUCUGUCAGAAAUUCGUUAUGGUAUUAUAUUCGGCAGAGAGGAGUUAAGUAAUCAGGAACCUGAUGGAGAAAUAUGAGUUUGAUGCAAAUAUUAUUGUCAUGCUCUUCAACCUUUAGUAGUCUUUGUCCUGUUGAAGUAGAUAGGUAGUAUGUAGUUUUAACAUAUAUCAUUGUCUUUAUGAUGUUGAAGAGGGUUUUACUUGUCAGACAACUAUUUGAUUAACAUAAAAUAUAAUCUUUACUCUUCUUAAGAAUCUAGAGACUGUUACAAAUGUUUUUUUAAACAUCUUGUCUUCUGAAGUUGUCAUGAAUGUUAAAAAAACAAAACAAAGGAGGUGGACCCAAUUGCAGAAACUAACGGAAAUAUUUACUAAUAGAAAUAUCCAAAAAGUCCAAAAAAAAGAACACAAACCACGAGGAAACACUGACAUCUACAACUAACAUACAACAACUUACAAUGAUCUGACAACACAAGGGAAGGAACACAAAGACUAAACAGACACAGGGUAAUCAGACACAGGUGAGACGUAUGACACAGGGAAACACAGAGACAGGAAUUAAGACAAGAAAGACUGAGGACCAGAACUACAAUAUAAAUCAGGAAACACUGAAGACACAAAGAGAA